rnacentral:SRP_RNA from 1 species
UCUGGGCGUCGUGGCAUGCGCCUGGGAGCCAGUUUCUUGGCAGUAGAUUGCUGUGGAUGGAGUAAGGAGAGGAGUCCCGUGACGAUCGCGGUGCACGGAGACCGGGCGUCCGCGCCAAGCAUUGUGUCGCCAAGUUGCCUUUGCCGAGGGACGGUGGUCCCCAUGCGGUCAAGGAGGGUGCACGGCUCAGGCCCGAAGGGGAAGCGCGCAAAAGCCCCCGUGCGACGCAGUGGAGGGAUAGCGUCCGCGAGUGUUCGCGCCGUCACGGCCUCUUCAAUAUCUUCGGACCACCAGUCGU